rnacentral:rRNA from 1 species
GACGAACGCUGGCGGCGUGCUUAACACAUGCAAGUCGAACGGAAAGGCCCUGCUUUUGUGGGGUGCUCGAGUUGCGAACGGGUGAGUAACACGUGAGUAACCUGCCCUUGACGUUGGGAUAACUUCAGGAAACUGGGGCUAAUACCGGAUAUGAGCGCCUGCUGCAUGGUGGGGGUUGGAAAGUUUCGGCGGUUGGGGAUGGACUCGCGGCUUAUCAGCCUGUUGGUGGGGUAGUGGCUUACCAAGGCUUUGACGGGUAGCCGGCCUGAGAGGGUGACCGGACACAUUGGGACUGAGAUACGGCCCAGACUCAUACGGGAGGCAGGAGUGGGGAAUAGUGCACAAUGGGCGGAAGCCUGAUGCAGCAAUGCCGCGUGCGGGAUGACGGCCUUCGGGUUGUAACCCGCUUUCGCCUGUGACGAAGCGUGAGUGACGGUAAUGGGUAAAGAAGCACCGGCUAACUACGUG